rnacentral:ncRNA from 1 species
CGACCAACGCCAUGGCAGGGUAGCCAAGUCCGGCAGGGAUAAACGCUGAAGGCAUCUAAGCGUGAAGCCCCCCUCAAGAUGAGAUAUCCCCCACAAAAGUGGAUAAGACCCCUUGAAGACGACAAGGUAGAUAGGGUAUAGGUGUAAGUGCAGCAAUGCAUUGAGCUGAAUACUACUAAUCGGUCGAAGGCUUAUCCUG